rnacentral:tRNA from 1 species
CUCGGUCCUCGUCCAGGGCGCGGGCGGCGGCGUCGCCACCGCCGCGAUCGUCCUCGGCAAGGCGGCCGGCCUGCGGGUCUUCGCCACCAGCCGGGAC